GAGGAUAUAGCUCAAGUUGCAGAGCACAUGCUUAGCAUGGACAAGGUCCUGGGUUCAAUUCCCAGUGCCUCCU
rnacentral:tRNA from 1 species